CUUUGCUUUCAGCUUCUUUACAGUGUUGCCUUGUGGCAUGGAGUUCAAGCAGCAUUGUACAGGGCUAUCAAAGCCUAG
rnacentral:pre_miRNA from 1 species